UACGUAGGUGGCAAGCGUUGUCCGGAUUUACUGGGCGUAAAGGGCGUGCAGGCGGUCUGUUAAGUGCAGGGUGAAAGCUCCCGGCUCAACUGGGAGAGGUCCUUGCAUACUGGCGGACUUGAGGGGGGUAGAGGAAAGUGGAAUUCCCGGUGUAGUGGUGAUAUGCGUAGAUAUCGGGAGGAACACCUGUGGCGAAGGCGGCUUUCUGGGACGGUACUGACGCUGAGACGGCGAAAGCGUGGGGAGCGAACAGG
rnacentral:rRNA from 1 species